GACGAACGCUGGCGGCGUGCCUAAUACAUGCAAGUCGAACGAACCGCGACUAGGUGCUUGCACUUGGUCAAGGUGAGUGGCGAACGGGUGAGUAACACGUGGGUAACCUACCUCAUAGUGGGGGAUAACAGUCGGAAACGACUGCUAAUACCGCAUAGGACAUAGGAUCCCAUGAUUCUGUGAGGAAAGGUGGCGCAAGCUAUCGCUAAGAGAUGGACCCGCGGUGCAUUAGCUAGUUGGUAGGGUAAAGGCCUACCAAGGCGAUGAUGCAUAGCCGACCUGAGAGGGUGAUCGGCCACAUUGGGACUGAGACACGGCCCAAACUCCUACGGGAGGCAGCAGUAGGGAAUCUUCCGCAAAGGACGCAAGUCUGACGGAGCAACGCCGCGUGAGUGAAGAAGGUCUUCGGAUCGUAAAGCUCUGUUGUUAGAGAAGAACAGCGCAUAGAGUAACUGUUAUGCGUGUGACGGUAUCUAACCAGAAAGCCACGGCUAACUACGUG
rnacentral:rRNA from 1 species